rnacentral:rRNA from 1 species
CGUAGGUGGCAAGCGUUGUCCGGAUUUAUUGGGUUUAAAGGGUGCGUAGGCGGUCCUAUAAGUCAGUUGUGAAAUACGGCAGCUUAACUGUCGAGGUGCAAUUGAUACUGCAGGACUUGAGUACAGACGAGGUAGGCGGAAUUGACGGUGUAGCGGUGAAAUGCUUAGAUAUCGUCAAGAACACCGAUAGCGAAGGCAGCUUACUAGACUGUAACUGACGCUGAUGCACGAAAGUGUGGGGAUCAAACAGGAUUAGAUACCCUGGUAGUCCACACUGUAAACGAUGAUUACUCGAUGUUGGCGAUACACAGCCAGCGUCUUAGCGAAAGCGAUAAGUAAUCCACCUGGGGAGUACGCCGGCAACGGUG